rnacentral:rRNA from 1 species
AGCGAACAGAUAAGGAGCUUGCUCCUUUGACGUUAGCGGCGGACGGGUGAGUAACACGUGGGUAACCUACCUAUAAGACUGGGAUAACUUCGGGAAACCGGAGCUAAUACCGGAUAACAUUUGGAACCGCAUGGUUCUAAAGUGAAAGAUGGUUUUGCUAUCACUUAUAGAUGGACCCGCGCCGUAUUAGCUAGUUGGUAAGGUAACGGCUUACCAAGGCGACGAUACGUAGCCGACCUGAGAGGGUGAUCGGCCACACUGGAACUGAGACACGGUCCAGACUCCUACGGGAGGCAGCAGUAGGGAAUCUUCCGCAAUGGGCGAAAGCCUGACGGAGCAACGCCGCGUGAGUGAUGAAGGGUUUCGGCUCGUAAAACUCUGUUAUUAGGGAAGAACAAACGUGUAAGUAACUGUGCACGUCUUGACGGUACCUAAUCAGAAAGCCACGGCUAACUACGUGCCAGCAGCCGCGGUAAUACGUAGGUGGCAAGCGUUAUCCGGAAUUAUUGGGCGUAAAGCGCGCGUAGGCGGUUUCUUAAGUCUGAUGUGAAAGCCCACGGCUCAACCGUGGAGGGUCAUUGGAAACUGGGAAACUUGAGUGCAGAAGAGGAAAGUGGAAUUCCAUGUGUAGCGGUGAAAUGCGCAGAGAUAUGGAGGAACACCAGUGGCGAAGGCGACUUUCUGGUCUGUAACUGACGCUGAUGUGCGAAAGCGUGGGGAUCAAACAGGAUUAGAUACCCUGGUAGUCCACGCCCGUAACGAUGAGUGCUAAGUGUUAGGGGGGUUUC